rnacentral:rRNA from 1 species
AGAGUUUGAUCCUGGCUCAGGAUGAACGCUAGCGGCAGGCUUAAUACAUGCAAGUCGUGGGGCAGCAGGUUUGUAGCAAUACAGAUGCUGGCGACCGGCAAACGGGUGCGGAACUCGUACAGAACCUUCCUUUGAGCGGGGAAUAGCCCAGAGAAAUUUGGAUUAAUACCCCAUAGUAUAAUGAAGUGGCAUCACUUUAUUAUUAAAGAUUUAUCACUCGAAGAUGGCUGUGCGGCUGAUUAGGUAGUUGGCGGGGUAAAGGCCCACCAAGCCUGCGAUCAGUAACUGGUGUGAGAGCACGACCAGUCACACGGGCACUGCGACACGGGCCCGACUCCUACGGGAGGCAGCAGUAAGGAAUAUUGGUCAACGGGGCAACUCUGAACCAGCCAUGCCGCGUGGAGGAUGAAGGUCCUCUGGAUUGUAAACUUCUUUUAUAUGGGACGAAAAAGGCUUUUCUAAGUCGUCUGACGGUACCAUAUGAAUAAGCACCGGCUAACUCCGUG